rnacentral:rRNA from 1 species
AGAGUUUGAUCCUGGCUCAGAUUGAACGCUAGCGGGAUGCUUUACACAUGCAAGUCGAACGGCAGCGCGGGUCUUCGGACCUGGCGGCGAGUGGCGAACGGGUGAGUAACAUUUCGGAACGUGCCCAGUAGCGGGGGAUAACUACGCGAAAGCGUGGCUAAUACCGCAUACGCCCUACGGGGGAAAGGGGGGGAUCGUUAANACCUCUCACUAUUGGAGCGGCCGAUAUCAUAUUAGCUAGUUGGUGAGGUAAAGGCUCACCAAGGCCGCGAUCUGUAGCUGGUUUGAGAGGACGACCAGCCACACUGGGACU